GUCUAAGGCCAUAGCACCCUGAAUGCGCCCUAUCUCAUCUGAUCUCGGAAGCUAAGCAGGGUCGGGCCUGGUUAGUACUUGGGUGGGAGACCGCCUGGGCAUACCGGGUGCUGUAGGCU
rnacentral:rRNA from 1 species